rnacentral:rRNA from 1 species
GAUGAACGCUGGCGGCGUGCCUAAUACAUGCCAGUCGAACGCUUCACUUCGGUGAAGAGUGGCGAACGGGUGCGUAAUACAUAAGUAACCUGGCAUCUACAGGGGGAUAACUGAUGGAAACGUCAGCUAAGACCGCAUAGGUGUAGAGAUCGCAUGAACUCUAUAUGAAAAGUGCUACGGGACUGGUAGAUGAUGGACUUAUGGCGCAUUAGCUUGUUGGUAGGGUAACGGCCUACCAAGGCGACGAUGCGUAGCCGACCUGAGAGGGUGACCGGCCACACUGGGACUGAGACACGGCCCAGACUCCUACGGGAGGCAGCAGUAGGGAAUUUUCGGCAAUGGGGGAAACCCUGACCGAGCAACGCCGCGUGAAGGAAGAAGUAAUUCGUUAUGUAAACUUCUGUCAUAGAGGAAGAACGGUGGAUAUAGGGAAUGAUAUCCAAGUGACGGUACUCUAUAAGAAAGCCACGGCUAACUACGUG